rnacentral:tRNA from 1 species
GCGCGGGUGGCGGAAUUCGGUAGACGCGCUAGAUUCAGGAUCUAGUGGCCGCAAGGCCGUGUGGGUUCAAGUCCCACCCCGCGCA